rnacentral:rRNA from 1 species
AUUGAACGCUGGCGGCAUGCCUUACACAUGCAAGUCGAACGGUAACGCGGGGCAACCUGGCGACGAGUGGCGAACGGGUGAGUAAUGUAUCGGAACGUGCCCAGUUGUGGGGGAUAACUGCUCGAAAGAGCAGCUAAUACCGCAUACGACCUGAGGGUGAAAGCGGGGGAUCGCAAGACCUCGCGCAAUUGGAGCGGCCGAUAUCAGAUUAGGUAGUUGGUGGGGUAAAGGGCUCACCAAGCCAACGAUCUGUAGCUGGUCUGAGAGGACGACCAGCCACACUGGAACUGAGACACGGUCCAGACUCCUACGGGAGGCAGCAGUGGGGAAUUUUGGACAAUGGACGCAAGUCUGAUCCAGCCAUUCCGCGUGCAGGAUGAAGGCCCUCGGGUUGUAAACUGCUUUUGUACGGAACGAAAAGGUUUCUAUUAAUACUAGGGGCUCAUGACGGUACUGUAAGAAUAAGCACCGGCUAACUACGUGCCAGCAGCCG